rnacentral:rRNA from 1 species
AUUGAACGCUGGCGGCAGGCCUAACACAUGCAAGUCGAACGAGUGGCGGACGGGUGAGUAAUGUCUGGGAAACUGCCUGAUGGAGGGGGAUAACUACCGGAAACGGUAGCUAAUACCGCAUACCAUCAGAUGUGCCCAGAUGGGAUUAUCUUGUUGGUGGGGUAACGGCUCACCAAGGCGUCGAUCCCUAGCUGGUCUGAGAGGAUGACCAGCCACACGAGAACUGAGACACGGUCCAGACGCCUACGAGGGGCAGCAGGGGGAAAUAUUGCACAAUGGGCGCAAGCCUGAUGCAGCCAUGCCGCGUGUAUGAAGAAGGCCUUCGGGUUGUAAAGUACUUUCAGCGGGGAGGCGUUACCCGAAGAAGAAGCACCGGCUAACUCCGUGCCAGCAGCCGCGGUAAUUC